AGUGAACGCUGGCGGUAGGCCUAACACAUGCAAGUCGAACGGCAGCACAGUAAGAGCUUGCUCUUACGGGUGGCGAGUGGCGGACGGGUGCGGUAUACAGCGGAAUCUACUCUUUCGUGGGGGAUAACGUAGGGAAACUUACGCUAAUACAGCAUACGACCUACGGGUGAAAGCACGGGAGCUUCGGACCCUGCUCGAUUGGACGAGCCGAUGUCGGAUUAGCUAGUUGGCGGGGUUAAGGCCCACCAAGGCGACGAUCCGUAGCUGGCCUGCGAGGCUGAUCAGAGCUACUGGAACUGAGACACGGGCCAGACUGCUACGGGAGGCCGCAGUGGGGAAUUUUGGGCAAUGGGAGCAAGCCUGAUCCAGCAAUACCGCGUGGGUGAAGAAGGCAUUGGGGUUGUGAAGUCGUUUUGUUGGGAAAGAAAAGCAGCAGGUUAAUACCCCGCUGUUCUGACGGUACCCAAAGAAUAAGCACCGGCUAACUUCGUG
rnacentral:rRNA from 1 species